AGCGAACGCUGGCGGUAGGCCUAACACAUGCAAGUCGAACGGGAGCACAGUAGGAGCUUGCUGCUACGGGGGGCGAGUGGCGUAGGGGCGAGGAAUACAUCGGAAUCUACUUUUUCGUGGGGGAUAACGUAGGGAAACAUACGCUAAUACAGCAUACGACCUCUGGGUGAAAGCAGGGGCUCUUCGGAUCUUGCGCGUUUGAAUGUGCCGAUGUUGGAUUAGCUAGUUGGCGGGGUAGAGGCACACCAAGGCGACGAUCCGUAGCUGGUCUGAGAGGAUGAUCCACCACACUGGAACUGAGAAAGAGCACACACACCUGGACGAGGCCGCGGUGGGGAAUCUUGCGCGAGGGACGAGAGGCUGAUCCAGCCAUACCGCGUCAAUGAAGAAGCCCUUCGGGUUGUAGAGCGCUGUUGUCCGUAAAGAAAAGAAGCACUUUACUUCGCCACUGUACUGACGGUACCCAAAGAAUAAGCACCGGCUAACUUCGUG
rnacentral:rRNA from 1 species